CCCAUACUCCCAUAAAACCUUCCUGCCCACAUCCCUCCAUGAUACUGCCAAAUCUCACCCCAAGCCUUCCUAUGAUUCACAGAUGAUUUAAUCAGUUCUGAACAGAUAGAUCUUGGGAUCAAAAGAGUGCCAGAAAUGCAAAGCAGCAUAAAAGGACACCACUACACCCAGCAUUCUAUCAAGGCUUCCAGUGUCCAUUACCAUCAACCUGCAUGAAGUUUCACAUACUGAGGAGAGGGCAUGAACCAAGAACUCGACUACAACAGUUACUUUUCCUCCAUCAGCGUAAGCAGGUGCCACUUGACAGAAAUAGCUGACAUGAAACCCACAGGAGAAGGCUCUCUUCCAAGACACUAUUUGGCGUGCAAAAUGUCCUGGGUGCACAGGUAGCAAUCUGCUACUGACUAUGGUUGACCCUUCUCCAUUCUUCCUAAACAAUAACCCAGGAUGACGUGUAGCCUUGUAAAAAUGAAGCUGAAUGGGUAUAUUCAGAUCCAGGGCUUGGAUGUGAAACCAUUUUAGUGGAUGCAAAAUCUCCUCUGAUCAGUGCCUAGACAGUAAACAUCCUUUCUCACACUCCUGGAACUACCUAAAGCAUUUCAUGCUGUCUCAGAGGCUCAGUUCCUUUUCCUAAGAUAAAAAGGCAAAGGUCCAAGGUAACAAUCUGAAAUUGUCUGAGCUUUUUUUCCAGCAAGGCACUGAAAAAAUAAUGAGAGAAAACUGUGGCUUUAUCAGAAACUUUCACACAGCUCUUUUUCAGUGUCUACAAGCAAUCACUGCGUACAGCAAUUGGAAAACCAAGACUAUGUUCCAAGUUGUUACUUCAGAAGUCAUUUAUAUCACCUUUCCAGACAUUGCGUAGCAUCAUCUAGCAGUCAUUCCUGGCUGACUAGGAAACUUGUCUCUGGUAGAUUAUAAUCUGGUUUUAGUAAGUCAUGCUUUGAUCAUGACUGAUGCUGACUAUAGCAUGCAGUGUAUGUUAUAGGAAACUGCAAUUACCAUAAAACAUUGCCAGGCACCUUCUUGGAAAAGCAGGCUCUUACAUGCAUGCCACAUCUUGCUACCAAAAGAAGCCAUCCUGGUGUACACAGUUCUUCCCUCAGGAGGAAUGCACAGUAAAGCACACCAUGGACCUGAGUCAAAUUAUGCAGCACAGUGCUAGAAUGUGCCCUAUAAGAACCCCACACAAGUGGGGGAAAUGUAUGUUUAUGAACACUCAUGAUCAGCUGAAAGACUGCAAGUGAUGACAAAUUGAAAUGACUUUUGAAAUUGAUUUCAAGAGUUAAUUAUGUUCACAGUUAAAACUUUGUUUUUAGAAAGAUAUUUAUAACAGGCAUUUUAGUCAUCUAAUUAAAAUGUGAUUCAGAACUCAUGAGCCUGAGAGCCCAACUUCCCUGAAUUUCCAAAGGGAAAGACAUGAAUACUAGCACAUGGCUCGGGGCACCUAAAUAGUUGUGUGGAAUCAGACAGUGUAAAUAUUUAUCCUUGCCUUCAUCAGUUUAAGUUAAAGAUAACCUAAAGCCAUGUUCCAGUUCAGGUCGGUCACCUCAACGUAAUUACUUUUGUUACAGCAAAGAGGUGCUGAAGCAGAGCAAAGCCGCUGUGGAUGUAGUGAGAGUCACACUGCUGCCGCACGCUAUCAGUAGCGCAGCUGGAACUUCAGCCCACACUUCUGCUCCUGGCUACCUUGGGAUAGGCUUAAGUACGUACUUAUGCCCUGCUCAAUGGGGCCUGUAGAAACAGAUUUCAGCUGUUAUAACAAUGCUUUUGUCUCUGGCACACAUCCAUGCGAGAGACUCCAGCUUCUCCAAUUUCCUGAGCAUUGCUAGUUUCCUGGAAAAUCUGGAAGCAUCACAAUAUUCUUCCCCAUUUCUCUGCCGACCUGCGCUGCAGGGCAAAGGGUUCAAGUGGCUUCAUUCACUUUUAUGAACGUUUCUCUUUUAUUUCUGAAAAAGUGUAAAGAAAUAUGUAGGAAUUCUAGAUAGCAACACUUCAUUUCUUGUCCACUGUCCCAAGGCAAAACUAAGCAUUGCAAAAGAUUUGCCUCAUUUUCACCAGCUACUAACUUCAGUGGCUAUUUCUUUGGUCAUUAAAUUAAUUUUGUAUUCUUCUUAAUAGCUGUUUUCCUGCAUAUCCAGUGGAGUAGGACUUUGGGGCAACUCUAGGUGCUGCUCUCCAGAGUGCAGUGCUUGCUCUCUUCUCGUAGCAGCACAACACUGGCUUGUGCUGGUGUAGUCAGGGGGCCUGGAGGUGCUCAAAAGCCACUGAGAUUUCCAAACUGCUGGCAGUGGCUGUGCCCCCUUAUCCCCCACCCUUGUCCUUCUCCUGUUUUAUUCCAGCAUAAGGCUCAGGAGAAGAAACAAACUAAGCAGAAUUAUCUCAGGAGGAGAGCAGCCUUCAAGGCCAGCGCAGCUGUUGACCUUCAUAGAGCCCAGGCAAGACUGACUCAGAUCAAUGCAGCCUACAAGGGUGUGCACUCACAGACGUAUUAGCAACGGACUUCAAAGAAACCACCUCAAGCCCAAAAACAACCAAAAAAGGAGUCUUCAAAAGAUUAAUCUACUCCUUCCACAGCAUAACAUCCCAUGCUUGCUGCAAACAAUAGUAACAGAAAAAUCUGCCCUAACAAUAUUCAAGGAAGAAUCAGUCACUGAAGUAGACCCAGCUGGAUUCCCUAGGAAGAGCAGAUUCCUCCAACACGGAGGGGACAUUUUUUUUCUAAAUGCUUGUUUCCCUGUGUUCAGAAGCAAUUGGUAACCUGUAUCCACAUUGGAUGUUUUUGUGAAGACUUGUACUGAAGCACAGAGCUAAGAUCAAAGUUCACUCACACUUUUGAGGCCCAACUGCAUCAUUUCACAUGGCACAGGAUCACAUUGGAAGGCAACAACAGCAGAAUGAAGCCAACACUGAUGCUGAGUCAAGUCAACCAUGGGACAAGGUUCACACAUCCAAAAUUAUUGCUUCAUUACGCAUAGGCAACUGCAUACUGCAGCACUGGCAUUCACAGACUUAUGCUGAUGCUCUAAUUGGUUGCUCAGCUUUAAUUAUAGGCAGACAUGGCAGGAGCAUGCAUGAAAAUGAAGUUUUUGUUGCAGAGGUGCUUGGAGAGCAAGUGUUCCAGCAGCAAUCGCCAGCAAGUCGCAGCCACCACUAGAAAGAUUACACCUUUCUAAAGACACUGAAGCCAAGAAGCCAGUAGGAUACCUGACAGUGAGAAGAUGGGCACAGAGAAACACAGGUUUCUCCUCCACACCACUCAUUCCUAGUGGACAGUCAAGCAUCACCCUGGGAGGAAGGUGUUGCAGAGGGAGGUGAGGUAGCUCAAACCUGAAGCUCCAGAGCCAAGCCACUACCGCUGGUGUCACCACUUGGUACAUGCUGCCACAUACUGGCUUGCACAACAGCCUCCUCACGUGGUAUGCAUGGCUUUUAAUAUCUCCCUCUUCAGACUGAAUAGCUACCAUGGCAUUUAGUGUUUACUACAGCUUUUGACAAAGUGAAUUCUGGCAAAAUUGAGCACAAGUCCUCUGAAAAAGCAGAACUUUGCCCAGUGAGAAAAUUUCCUGGCCACUUCUGUGACAACCUGAAGACUCUGCUGGAAGGAUAGGGAGGUCCACAACAUCACAGAGCAGCUUGUCACAUCAGUGUGAGUUCAGGUUAUUUGGAGGCAACAGCUGAUAACCACAGCUCUGCAUGCGCAGAUAAAAACGUGACUCUGAGCAAUCUGCAAGAACGGAUGAACCGCUCUUCCUGCUGUGUGCAGCGUGACUGACCCGCGACCGGCUGUGAAACAAGUGCCUGGAGCAGGAUGUGAGGCUGGCCCAGAGGUCGGACAGAUGCCAGCAGACACCCACCAUGGGCUGCAGCCCUUCCCACACACACACACACAGCUGCAUCGUGCUUGCCAGGGCCAAGGGUUGUUAAGACCCAGGCAAUCAGCAGGGCAGUAAGGUUGCUGAGCCCCAAAACACAGUAGGCAGCCUCAGGGAGUUAUUUUCAGUGUCAGACAAGAGCACUUUGGUGGAGAGCGGAACAAACCUCACAGGUCUAGGUAGUGUCCAGGAAGGACAAACGAUUAACGGGGAGCCAAAGCUUUUCUAAAUCCAGCUGUAUUUCAAAUCUCCAAGCCACUAUGCUAAAAUACCCAACACUCUGUGGCAAAGUGAGCCUAAGACAGGAGACAUGAUAUCUUUGCCUAAGACUGAUGGUUUUCUUAGUUAAUUCUUUCUUUCUCCCAUUUCUGUGAGAAUUCAUGGACUUUUAGACACUAUUUAAAUGAAAUUUCAAGCACUAGCAAGCUGCAUCCUGGCACCUAACACAAUGCAAGAUUCUCCAGCCCAUUGCUACACAAAACCCCUAGGGGACUGUAGGAGAAAAACAGUAAUCAAUAAAAUACUAUUGCGUGUGGCACUUAAACCAAAAGGCGUGUUCUUCAAAGAGCAGUGCUUAGAGAGCAGACUUCUGUGAGCAUGCUGGUACUCAGAUCUCAUUAAAUAAAAGCACUAUCAGGUUAAUUAGUUAAUGUCUUGUAAGAACAUUGACGAAAUAUGAUAUUGGGUAUAUCAGUGUGAGCUGUCAUUUAUUUCAGGGGUAGUGGGGCAUAUUCUGUAUUUGACUGUGCCAGUACAAUCCCCUUUGGCUUCAAUUGUGGGAUCUGACUAAAGACAAGAUAUCAGAUCAGGACAGAAUCUGGCCUUUAAAAAUGCUGAUUUUAACUUCAGCCAUCUACUCCUGCCUUUAAAUUCUACCCCAAAGCAGGGAAAACUGUUUUCUUAUAAAAACAAGAGGAAUAUUACACCUGCAGAAAGCGGUUCUCCCUUGCCUGCAAUUCCACUCAAGCCACAGAACAGUACCAUCUAUUCAGAGGGAAGCAAGCUCAGGCAACUCUGAGACAUACAACAUAUGAUGAGUGCUACAGAACAGUGGUAUGGACAACAGGGGAGUUAUUACACCAUGACAGAUGCAUACCCAGACUACACUGGCUCCUAAGAGCUCUGCAGAAAGAAAUCAGAGCUAGACACAUCUGUGCCAAUGUCAAAAGGUCUAAGAAAAGGGCAAUAUGAUAUUGAAGAAAGAACAGCUUAUCUCAAGAGUAAUUUUUAAAGGCUGUCCUGGGAGGCUGGGAAGAACUAAGACUACCUGUGUGUGUGCAACACCUCUCCACCCUCAGGAGCAGAAGAAACAUAUUGUCCUUCUCUGCAGUCAGAGGGUAAAGAGUGGAAGAGAGCACAGCCUUGGGGACAUGCAAGGCCCCAGUUCUGAGGGGAGUAGCAGUGGUCAGGGACUGAAGCCCCUGGUGAAACCACCCCAGCAUCCCAAAUCCCAUGUCCUGCAGCAUCCCUUCACAGCCCAGUGUCUUGGAUGGUGCCAGCCUGGGAAAUAAAUAUGAGCAGGAUACA